UACGUAGGUGGCAAGCGUUGUCCGGAUUUACUGGGCGUAAAGGGAGCGUAGGCGGAUUUUUAAGUGGGAUGUGAAAUCCCCGGGCUCAACCCGGGGGCUGCAUUCCAAACUGGAAAUCUAGAGUGUCGGAGAGGAAAGCAGAAUUCCUAGUGUAGCGGUGAAAUGCGUAGAGAUUAGGAAGAAUACCAGUGGCGAAGGCGGCUUUCUGGACGAUAACUGACGCUGAGGCUCGAAAGCGUGGGGAGCAAACAGG
rnacentral:rRNA from 2 species